AACACAGACAGUUGUCCUUCAGUGUCUUUUCAAAUUAGAGAAACUAGUAUUUUUUAAAAAGCUUUCUUAGUCAGUACACAUAUAUACAUUUUAAAGAAAUCAUGAAGUCAGAAUGCAAAAUCAGGGAGUAUUUUAGUUAAGAAUGAAUGACAUGUAUGCUUUCCAGGUUAAAAGUGGCACGGGCAAAGUACUGUUUUAUAUAUUGGAAAAACAUGGUCACUUGAGAGGUGCUUUGCUUUUUAUAUUUAGUUUUCUCUUGUGUGUUUUCCUCCUGCCAGUCUAUAAUUUGGCUGUUACUGGAGUCAGGGAUUUUCUUUUCUUGUCUAUUCCUUAUGACUAUCAUCAAGCAUUUUCUUCUUUAACAACAAAAAGGGGAGGAAGAUGACAAAUUAGAAACUUAGAGUGUCCUGGUAAACUAUUUUGUCAAGUCGUAAACACACGAAUCCAUGGGGGGGGGGGGGGGGGGGGGAAUAAGAUACCACAUACUGAUGCUAUUUUUAAAGUUUGUUCCUGGUAUGUUCCCUUUUUUUCCAUUAUGAUGUAAAACAACGCCUGCACUGGUUCUGGUUUCAGCUCCUGCAGACAGCUUGCUUGUUCUCAACCCAGAUGGACGUGGGGUGUUCACCACACCAGAGGCCCACAGGACAGGGCCAUGGCAAACCAUGAAGGCCACAGUCAGCCCAGUGUCACAGGGAGCUCUUGGUGUGGCACAGAGCAGAUGUAUCCCUGCACCCUGUUCUCUGUCAGCUUGGUGAGGACAUGGUGCUGUCAGGAGACUUGGAAGGCAGAUUACCACCCAACAGCCAACUGGGAGCUUUCUGGAUAUUCCACGUCUUGUUUGGCAGGGGUGCAGGCAGCCUUUGGGUCUUCGUGGGAAGAAGGAGUGCUGAAGUGAGGACUACUUCAAGGGGGACCUGUGCUUUAACUUUGCUUAACUUUGACUGCUUCCUUCACUCAGGCCAAGAGGCUGGAUGUCAGAUUUGCAGGCAAACAUGCUCUGAGGAGGUUCACAGGGCCCCUUCUGUUGCUGUACAUGGUGCUGUGAGAUGCAACAGUGCUUAAGAAAUUGCAGUUGAUCAGUAAUUGAAAUGAGAAACUGAAAGUUAACAACUAUUCCCCCCAAAACAACUGGGGAAAAAUGUCCCUUUGCAGCUUUGUUUCUUCCUGUCCUCUUUUCCCCACACCAGAAGGGCUUUUCUUCUACCUCUUUGUAGAAGAGAGGUGAUGACCAGCCUGGUUUGAUCACUGUUCCAUUUGAAAUGGCAACUCUUUGCGAUACCAUCCAGAAGCGCCUCACAGCCCACUGUUCGCUCCUCCAUUUGUGUGACUAUGGUGAUGGGAGGAAGUGCAGGGAUCGGUCAGCAGCUGUGCCCACUGCAGGGAAGGCUGUGGCCGUGGUAUUCCUCAGGCUAAAUCCAGCCCUGUGCACACCCAGUUGGUUUGCUUCAUUUUUUGCAGAGCAAUUCUUUCAAUUCAUUUUUAGCGCUGUUUGCAGAGAGGCAGACGCACUGGAAAACUGUUUCAGUUUUGUGCAUAUGCAUGAACACACACACCUGCAUACAAAGCCUUCUAUUUUCAGUCCCUCUACAAGAGUCUAAGAUUACUUUCUUGUACAGUUAAGAUAGAUCACAGCAACAAAUUUCAGCUAUUUAUGCUCUGUGAAAUAACUUUCUUUACUAUAUUGUCUGAAUAGCUCCCAAAUAGUUUUUUUUUUCACCUAUGCCCUGUUAAACAGUACAAAAUGUUGAUAUUCUUAAUGUUAUGAAGUCUAGCAGGAGGGAAAAAAAAGGUACAUGAUGCAUUAGUUAAGGAUUUGUAGUGAUGUAUGGUGCAGUGUAAUGCUGCAAAAGUGGAAAAUUAUGUGUUUUUAUAGUACCUAAUGAUAGGCACUUCCAAAGAUGAUGUUAUGGAUACCAGCAUUGUUGGUGUGUAUUUUGGUGUCACGUUCUGACAUUUUAUAUACAUGCAAUUAUACUUUCAUUUCCAGGAGUAAUUUAAGUCUCAGCUCAACCAGAGCAGCCAGGAGGAGGCCAGCGGGCGGUGGUGCUGUGGUCUGUGAGCUGAGGUAAAGCACCGCCUGCUCUCAGUGCUCAGAGCUCUAGGCAUUCCUCACCGUGGGUGCGUGUGUAAUCAAAAGCUUUCUUCGUUUCACAGCAUUUAUGGGAAGGUUUUAUUUCCAUAAUUACAGUUUUACUGUAGUUUAUGAAGAAAAUGCAGCGUGAAGACCAAUCAUUUUGAUGAUCUGUAGAUCAGUCGAAGGAGAGCAAGCUUCAAGGUUAGCUGCAUGGCAGCUGUCAUCAGUCUGUGAAAUUACCAUUUUGAAUGACAAGCUUAAUUUGCACUUGAACCCUAGCAUUGGCUUUCACUCCAUCUUCUUCCUAAUGACUCCGGUCUCCUUGUUCAGUUAAAGCCAUUAUACUUUUUGUUCUAUGAAAAGGUAUUAAAGGGGCAAGGUAGGAUGGCUUCCAUGUCCAAAAGUCCCCUUUAUUUUUGUUUAUGUGUUUCUGCUCCACCCCAAUGUUAUGAAUUGUGUGUGAAAUCUUCAGUUCAUUAUCAGUUAACACUGAUGCCACAAAGCUUGCAGACUGUUAUUAUGGAAUCAUGUACAUCAUUAAAAGAAAAAAA
ensembl:lncRNA